ensembl:lncRNA
UUACUUAUUUGCCAUUUUAUUUAUACAAGUGUAAAAUAAGAGUGCAAAGUACAAGAACAGUAAGUACAAAAUAUGAAUAAUAAAAAUACAAUGAGCAAAAUCCAAACAAGAGAACAAAAGUAUAAGAACAGUGCUGUACAAAAUUCACAACUAUAAAUAAUAAAAUAAACAUGCAAAAUCCAAACAAUAGAAGAGAACAAAAGUAUCAGAAGAGUGCAGAACAAAACAAACCAAUUAUGAAUAAAACAAAUAUUUACAUAGUGCUUAGGGGCAUUCUCUUAAGUUUUCUACGCCCUGUGCCGAAAUCAAACAUUGCAAAAUCCUCAUCAUUAAAGGGUGCCUACUCUCCUGUAAUGCAGUCCUCGCCAGGUCCCCCACAACCUGGCCAAAUCUCGCAUACUCAUCAGGGGCAACCAUGCUCUCAAGUGACAGCACAGUCUGCCUCCGCUCCUCCAAAUCUGCCACCCUUUCACUCAUGAAGUCAUCCAGCUGCCCCCUUCUUUUCCUCUUCCUUCCUGUGUGGGAAGGAGGAGAUGGUGACAUCAUGGAGGCUGAAGGGGUGGAUGGGCUGAAUGCUGGCAAAUUGGGCCGGGGAAGAGCUGUUGCCUCAAAGAAGGCCUCUGGCGAGGAUGGCUCAAGGGAGGCUUCCGAUGAGGACGAGGUGGAUGGCUGGAGGGAGGCUGCCUGUGAUGAGAUGGAUGGCUGGAGGAAGGCUGCCUGUGAUGAGAUGGAUGGCUGGAGGAACGCUGCCUGUGAUGAGAUGGAUGGCUGGAGGAAGGCUGCCUGUGAUGAGAUGGAUGGCUGGAGGAAGGCUGUCUGUGAUGAGAUGGAUGGCUGGAAGUUUGCAGGUGACGAGGUGGAUGGCGAUGACGCAUUGCUGGCAGUUGAGGGCUGUUCAUAAUAAUAGAUAAUAGGGCUGUUCAUGAUAAUAAAGGAAAGUAUUAGUUGUAUAAAGUAUUGUAUAUACCCACACAGGAAGGAAGAGGAAAAGAAGGGGGCAGCUGGAUGACUUCAUGAGUGAAAGGGUGGCAGAUUUGGAGGAGCGGAGGCAGACUGUGCUGUCACUUGAGAGCAUGG